rnacentral:rRNA from 1 species
CCAAGUUGCUUCGGCGGCGCGGCACCCCUUAACGGGGGCGCCGCAGCCCUGCCUCUCCGGAGGUUCGGGGCGCCCGCCGGAGGUACGAAACUCUGUAUUAUAGUGGCAUCUCUGAGUAUAAAACAAAUAAGUUAAAACUUUCAACAACGGAUCUCUUGGUUCUGGCAUCGAUGAAGAACGCAGCGAAAUGCGAUAAGUAAUGUGAAUUGCAGAAUUCAGUGAAUCAUCGAAUCUUUGAACGCACAUUGCGCCCGGUAGUACUCUACCGGGCAUGCCUGUUCGAGCGUCAUUUCAACCCUCAAGCCCUGCUUGGUGUUGGGGCCCUACGGCUGCCGUAGGCCCUGAAAGGAAGUGGCGGGCUCGCUACAACUCCGAGCGUAGUAAUUCAUUAUCUCGCUAGGGAGGUUGCGGCGUGCUCCUGCCGUUAAAGACCCAUCUUUAACCAAGGUUGACCUCGGAUCAGGUAGGAAUACCCGCUGAACUUAAGCAUAUCAAUAAGCGGAGGAAAAGAAACCAACAGGGAUUGCCCUAGUAACGGCGAGUGAAGCGGCAACAGCUCAAAUUUGAAAUCUGGCUUCGGCCCGAGUUGUAAUUUGUAGAGGAUGCUUUUGGUGAGGUGCCUUCUGAGUUCCCUGGAACGGGACGCCAGAGAGGGUGAGAGCCCCGUAUAGUCGGCCACCGAUCCUUUGUAAAGCUCCUUCGACGAGUCGAGUAGUUUGGGAAUGCUGCUCAAAAUGGGAGGUAUAUCUCUUCUAAAGCUAAAUAUAGGCCAGAGACCGAUAGCGCACAAGUAGAGUGAUCGAAAGAUGAAAAGCACUUUGAAAAGAGGGUUAAAUAGCACGUGAAAUUGUUGAAAGGGAAGCGCUUGUGACCAGACUUGUGCCGGGCUGAUCAUCCAGUGUUCUCACUGGUGCACUCGACCCGGCUCAGGCCAGCGUCGGUUUUCGUGGGGGGAUAAAAGCUUCGGGAACGUGGCACCUUCGGGUGUGUUAUAGCCCGUUGCUUAAUACCUCCGUGGAGACCGAGGU